CGGCCACAUUACUUUAAAAUACUAGUUACAGUACGAUCACCGAAGUUACGCAACGUCGAGCCUGGUCAGUACUUAGAUGGGUGACCGCUUGGGAAUACCAGGUGCUGUAA